rnacentral:tRNA from 2 species
GCCCCUGUAGCUUAGUGGUAGAGCGUCUGGCUGUUAACCAGAAGGUCGCCUGUUCAAACCAGGCCGGGGGCG